AUUCCGGAGAGGGAGCCUGAGAAACGGCUACCACAUCUAAGGAAGGCAGCAGGCGCGUAAAUUACCCACUCCCAGUUCGGGGAGGUAGUGACGAAAAAUAACAAUACAGGACUCAUAUCCGAGGCCCUGUAAUUGGAAUGAGUACACUUUAAAUCCUUUAACAAGGACCUAUUGGAGGGCAAGUCUGGUGCCAGCAGCCGCGGUAAUUCCAGCUCCAAUAGCGUAUAUUAAAGUUGUUGCGGUUAAAACGUUCGUAGUUGAAUCUGUGCUUCAUACGGGUAGUACAACUAUAAUUGUGGAUUGUACAUUACCUUAUGUAUGCAAGCGUAUUACCGGUGGAGUUCUUAUAUGUAAUAGUACUUGUAUUAUUAUGUAUACCUCCUAUUUAAACCUGCUUCAGUGCUCUUCAUCGAGUGUUGUUGUGGGCCGGUACAGUUACUUUGAACAAAUUAGAGUGCUUAAAGCAGGCUCCAAAUGCCUGAAUAUUCUGUGCAUGGAAUAAUGAAAUAAGACCUCUGAUCUACUUUCAUUGGCUUUUUAGAUCAAGAGGUAAUGAUUAACAGAAGCAGUUUGGGGGCAUUAGUAUUACGACGCGAGAGGUGAAAUUCUUGGACCGUCGUAAGACUAACUUAAGCGAAAGCAUUUGCCAAAGAUGUUUUCAUUAAUCAAGAACGAAAGUUAGAGGUUCGAAGGCGA
rnacentral:rRNA from 1 species